GAGUUUGAUCCUGGCUCAGGAUGAACGCUGGCGGCGUGCCUAAUACAUGCAAGUCGAGCGAACUGAUUAGAAGCUUGCUUCUAUGACGUUAGCGGCGGACGGGUGAGUAACACGUGGGCAACCUGCCUGUAAGACUGGGAUAACUUCGGGAAACCGAAGCUAAUACCGGAUAGGAUCUUCUCCUUCAUGGGAGAUGAUUGAAAGAUGGUUUCGGCUAUCACUUACAGAUGGGCCCGCGGUGCAUUAGCUAGUUGGUGAGGUAACGGCUCACCAAGGCAACGA
rnacentral:rRNA from 1 species